GACGAACGCUGGCGGCGUGCUUAACACAUGCAAGUCGAACGGAAAGGCCCUGCUUUUGUGGGGUGCUCGAGUGGCGAACGGGUGAGUAACACGUGAGUAACCUGCCCUUGACUUUGUGAUAACUUCAGGAAACUGGGGCUAAUACCGGAUAGGAGCUCCUGCUGCAUGGUGGGGGUAGGAAAGUUUCGGCGGUUGGGGAUGGACUCGCGGCUUAUCAGCUUGUUGGUGGGGUAGUGGCUUACCAAGGCUUUGACGGGUAGCCGGCCUGAGAGGGUGACCGGCCACAUUGGGACUGCGAUACGGCCCAGACUCGUACGGGAGGCAGCAGUGGGGAGUAUUGCACAGUGGGCGGAAGCGUGAUGCAGCGACGCCGCGUGCGGGAUGCCGGCCUUCGGGUUGUAAACCGCUUUCGCCUGUGACGAAGAGUGAGUGACGGUAAUGGGUAAAGAAGCACCGGCUAACUACGUG
rnacentral:rRNA from 1 species